GACAGAGGGUGCAAACGUUGUUCGGAAUUACUGGGCGUAAAGCGCGUGUAGGCGGCUCGGAUAGUCGGGUGUGAAAGCCCUGGGCUCAACCCAGGAAGUGCACUCGAUACUGCCGAGCUGGAGUCCCGGAGAGGAUGGCGGAAUUCUCGGUGUAGAGGUGAAAUUCGUAGAUAUCGAGAGGAACACCUGUGGCGAAGGCGGCCUUCUGGACGGUGACUGACGCUGAGACGCGAAAGCGUGGGGAGCAACAGG
rnacentral:rRNA from 1 species